UCUCUAGUGUUUUUUUUUUUUUUUACUGGUUCAUUUUUUCUUUUCAAACAAAAGGAAAAUAUUUUUACGAGUUCAUUUUGAAAAGAAAGAUUUUGAUCUUCAAAAGCCAAGGUAAUCACCAUAGGCAUUUCACUUUCACAGGACAAUCAAAAGACCCUUAAUAGAUAUUCAUCAGCAUACCAAUGCAGCUAAUCACCUCUUUAAGUUCAAAGGAGUUCAA
rnacentral:misc_RNA from 1 species